GACGAACGCUGGCGGCGUGCUUAACACAUGCAAGUCGUACGGUAAGGCCCUUUCGGGGGUACACGAGUGGCGAACGGGUGUGUAACACUUGAGUAACCUGCCCACCACUUUGUGGUAGCGCUAGGAAACUGGUGCUAAUACUGGAUAUGUGCUCCUGCUGCAUGGUGGGGGUUGGAAAGCUCCGGCGGUUGUGGAUGGACUCGCGGCCGAUCAGCUUGUUGGUGGGGUAGUGGCCUACCAAGGCGGCGACGGGUAGCCGGCCGGAGAGGGUGACCGGCCACAUUGGGACUGAGAUACGGACCAGACACAUACGGGAGGCAGCAGUGGGGAAUAUAGCACACUGGGCGGAAGCAUGAUGCAGCAACGACGCGUGCGGGAUGACGGACUUCGGGUUGUAAACCGCUUUCAGCAGGGACGAAGCUUUUUGUGACGGUACCUGCAGAAGAAGCACCGGCUAACUACGUG
rnacentral:rRNA from 1 species